AUACGGAGGGUGCAAGCGUUACUCGGAAUCACUGGGCGUAAAGCGCGCGCAGGCGGCUAUUUAAGUUGGAUGUGAAAGCCUAUGGCUCAACCAUAGAACUGCAUCCAAAACUAUUUAGCUAGAGUGUGGGAGAGGAAGAUGGAAUUAGUUGUGUAGGGGUAAAAUCCGUAGAGAUAACUAGGAAUACCAAAAGCGAAGGCAAUCUUCUGGAACACUACUGACGCUGAGGCGCGAAAGCGGGGGGAGCAAACAGGAUUAGAAACCCUAGUAGUCC
rnacentral:rRNA from 1 species